GACAGAGGGUGCAAACGUUGUUCGGAAUCACUGGGCGUAAAGCGCGUGUAGGCGGCACGGCAUGUCGGAUGUGGAAAUCCCAUGGCUCAACCAUGGAAGUGCACCCGAAACUGCCGAGCUCGAGUCUCGGAGAGGAAGGUGGAAUGCUUGGUGUAGAGGUGAAAUUCGUAGAUAUCAAGCGGAACACCGGUGGCGAAGGCGGCCUUCUGGACGGAUGACUGACGCUGAGACGCGAAAGCGUGGGGAGCAAACAGG
rnacentral:rRNA from 1 species